AUCCAUUAUAUGCAGAAGCUUUCACCAAUCCUGUCCAUAGAUUCAGUGUAAAUGAAAGGGAGGAGAUGAGGAAAGGCAGCCGCUUUAGCUAAACCUGAAUAGAGCUUCACCCCGAGGCUCUGGCCUUGAUCGUGACUACACCAUGAGGAGAGAGGACUGCUGAGGACUGCUGCUCUGAAGCGAAGCACCGAAGAACAGACUCACGCCUCGGUGAGCAGCAAUGCAUGUGGACAUAACUAUUUUCACAGAAGUGUUUUAAUUUUGAGUUUACUGGACUCCAGUGUAAAUUGCUUUCUCGGUUGCUAUGGUGCCAUUGAGGUGGAUUGUUGUACGCUGUCAGGGGUAACAAUGAGGGUGUCAAGAUACAUGUCAAUCAUCUCAAUGAGGAGGGGCUCCAACGGAGACGAGCCAAUAGGAGACAUGAGGCCAUGAGAGCACAUUGGAUUGGUCGUCAAACUUGCAUGGUUCUGUACUCCACUCCCCCAUUAUCUUCUUCAACUCUGCCUGGUAAAUUGAACACAUGAUUGCAAUGUGAUGUUAAUGUCAAUAGGCGCUUUGCAUGAAAAAACAUGUCAUGUGCACAGAUCUCAAGUUUAGUUUAGCCAUUGCCUGUCCAUCCGUGUCUGAGUGGGUUUAUGGCUGUGUCUCUUUUUGAUCCAGGUUGUCUCACCAGACCCUUAGUAACAGUUCCUUACCACAAGCUCUGUGUCUGCUUCUAGAUCCCACAGUUCCUCUCCUCCUUCCUCCUCCUCCUCUUCACUGGACUCCUGCAUAUAAAACAGGGCCUGUUCGUACUCUUGUCGUACAACGGUGGCCUUAGAGUGCACUUUGAGUCACAGACCUAGGUUGAGAGGAAACACCACCGAUACUCAAUGCCAUUUUCUUGAUCACACAGGCCUUCAAUUGACUGAUUUGAUAUUUGAGAGUCUCAUAGCACUUCUUCAAUAUUGUGAACAGUAUUAGGUCAUUAGGUCUCAUCUGCCUCACCCUCAGCAUUCUUUCACCUGCUGUCUGAACCUCAACAUCGACUACAGGUUACACCCUCUGCACGUCAAGCUGAGAGAUGGAUGGAGGAGGAGAAAGGAUGGAUGGGGAAGAAGAGAAGGGUGUGAUGCUGUUGGAGAAGAAAGGGAUGGAGAGAAGGAUAAGAGAGAAGGAGGGAUAGACGCCUUUUGCCCAUCUGUGAUAA
rnacentral:lncRNA from 13 species